rnacentral:rRNA from 1 species
GACGAACGCUAGCGGCGUGCUUAACACAUGCAAGUCGAACGAUGAACUUGGAGCUUGCUCUGGGGGAUUAGUGGCGAACGGGUGAGUAACACGUGAGUAACCUGCCCUGGACUCUGGGAUAACUUCGAGAAAUCGGAGCUAAUACCGGAUAGGACCUUGCACCGCAUGGUGUGGGGUGGAAAGUUUUUCGGUUUGGGAUGGACUCGCGGCCUAUCAGCUUGUUGGUGAGGUAAUGGCUCACCAAGGCGUCGACGGGUAGCCGGCCUUAGAGGGUGACCGGCCACACUGGGACUGGGACACGGCCCAGACUCCUACGGGAGGCAGCAGUGGGGAAUAUUGCACAAUGGGCGCAAGCCUGAUGCAGCAACGCCGCGUGCGGGAUGACGGCCUUCGGGUUGUAAACCGCUUUUAGUAGGGAAGAAGCCUUCGGGUGACGGUACCUGCAGAAAAAGGACCGGCUAACUACGUGCCAGCCGCCGCAGUAAAAC